rnacentral:rRNA from 1 species
GACAGAGGUGCCAAGCGUUAGGCGGAAUCACUGGGCUUAAAGCGUGUGUAGGCGGAUUUGUAAGUACCUUGUGAGAUCCCACAGCUCAACUGUGGAACUGCUGGGUAUACUGCUUAUCUUGAGCCACUUAGGGGCUGUCGGAACAAAUGGUGGAGCGGUGAAAUGCGUAGAUAUCAUUUGGAACGCCAACGGUGAAAACAGACAGCUGGGAGUGUGCUGACGCUGGGACACGAAAGCCAGGGGAGCGAACGGG